GUGGGGAAUAUUGGACAAUGGGGGGAACCCUGAUCCAGCCAUGCCGCGUGUGUGAAGAAGGCCUUUUGGUUGUAAAGCACUUUAAGCGAGGAGGAGGCUACCGAGAUUAAUACUCUUGGAUAGUGGACGUUACUCGCAGAAUAAGCACCGGCUAACUCUGUGCCAGCAGCCGCGGUAAUACAGAGGGUGCAAGCGUUAAUCGGAUUUACUGGGCGUAAAGCGCGCGUAGGUGGCCAAUUAAGUCAAAUGUGAAAUCACCGAGCUUAACUUGGGAAUUGCAUUCGAUACUGGUUGGCUAGAGUAUGGGAGAGGAUGGUAGAAUUCCAGGUGUAGCGGUGAAAUGCGUAGAGAUCUGGAGGAAUACCGAUGGCGAAGGCAGCCAUCUGGCCUAAUACUGACACUGAGGUGCGAAAGCAUGGGGAGCAAACAGGAUUAGAAACCCUGGUAGUCC
rnacentral:rRNA from 1 species